AAUUAAAUAGCGUUACUUGUGUGGUGUGUCUUCAGGCUUUUCCUAAAACUAACUAAACUACUACUGUUUCACAAUGUUAACCACGUGUUUGAAUACUUAAAAGCCGUACCAACUUUGCUAACAACAAAACAUCAAGGAAAUGUGACUUCACAACAGCGAUAUUACUGACAGCCGACGUCAAGCAGGAGCAACAACAAGCCACAGCGAGCCGCUAAUGAGUUAUCACUGCCUAGUCCAACAGAAAAAAGCCCAGCUUGGCAUCUGUUCUCACGCCUGUGAGUAAGACAGACCCAUAUUUCUCUUGCUCGUUACUCCCCGUCUUUCUCUUCCUUCCUUCCUUCGACGACGACUUUGGUCUCUUCAGCCAUUCGGUCUUCCAUAGCUCCAUAGAAAGCUUCGACGGCCUGGAGCAGCAACAGUAGUGACGUCACUCACCCUGUUUCAGCUUUUGAUUGUGUUACCACAGCAACACAGGCUGAGAUAGAGGUUCCUCCCUGAGAGGGUAGCAUGAAGUCCAGUUCACAUUCCUUUGGAUUACACCACUGCAUAAACCCCUUCACCUCUCAGCAGGAACACAGUCUUCAUCAGCGAGAUCACUGUCUGUGAUCCACAACACCUGGUGUGUGUCAUCCAUCAAACAACGGCAGUUACCUGGAAACGUCAUGUAAACUGAUUAUUAACCAACAAAUACAGAAGUGCAGUCUGUGUGUUUGUUUCACACAGUAUUGCUGGACAAAUACUAAAGGUUAUCUUGCUGAAAAAGUUUCUACCUUAAUUUAAAGCCAAAAUGCUGUCUGAAAUCUCAUAAAUGAGAUCCUCUACAGCUGCCUCCUUUCUCCACUAAUGCCUGGUGCUCACUAGAGGAUUUUCAAACUUUUCAAACCAAUUUUAAAAAUGUGGGACACCACAGACAUAACGGCAGAACUAACCGUUUAACAUUUUAAUCUUGAGAACGCACACACCAGACGAAGGACCACACACUCUGCGUUUCUACUAAACGGUUUCAGAGUGGCGGUUUCGGGGACUUGUGAUAUCACAGAAUCUCAUGUGAUCAAAUGUGACGGAAACAAACAUGGCUGUCGUCAGCUGGUUGACCUUGUGUGCGCUGUGUUUCGUGCAGAAGAACAAAAUAGGAGGGAAUCAAACUGGAUAAACUCGAGGCUGAGAAGAGGGAAUCAGCAGCUUUAUAUGUUUUAGAACAGAUACCCAACACACUGGGGACGCUUCCUGCUCAGCUCUGUUGUGGCCCCUGCGAUUGUUGGGAUGGGCGAACUGGACUCAACAGCGGCCCAGUUAUUCUCUAUGUAGCCGCCAGCAUUAGAGGAAGACCAAAAAAAUAUACUGCAGCAGAAAUAUUAAGGAAUUAUAGGAAAAUGAAAAGUUACUGAUCUGAACAGGAAUCAGUCUGUAAUGACAGGGUUUCAAGAUAUUUUCCUAAAAAUAAAGAGAGAGUCCAUCAUCAGGUCCUUCUGCUGCUGUGAACAAUAGAGCUUUCCAUUCACCAUUAACAUCAUUUCCGUCCGCAGGAGUUUCCUCUUUAAGUGGAAAAGCUUUGUGGUACAUAACAAAGGGAAAUAAUGCGGAGUCCAGCUGAUCAGAGCCAAACAGUCAGAGGUUAAUGCUGAACACUGAGCUCUGCAGCCUGUAUUCAGCUGUCUGUCACCACAUUGACCUCUUGUUCACCUAUUUUUAUAUUUUUCAUUCUUUGGUGAAGAUGCCUGCUGAAACAUGCUGAAACCACCACAACUACGGUGCAUGGACGAAAAGCUGCAGCCUUUUAGUUUUGCAAGGAUACUGUAGGGGUCAGAGGAGUUUGCCCAUCCAGUCUGCAUGUGCUUCUGUGGAAACAGCGUAGAGUGUGUCCCCUUUGGCGUUACUACGAACCACCGGGACGUUAGCAGAAUAAGAUCUUUGUUUGUAUUCUCUGAAGGAGCGUGGAAGCGGUUGAAUGUCCAGAUUUGUAACAUCAGUAUUACACAUCUGCUUUUUUUGCAGAUUGUGUGGUUCUGGCUGGAGGGUGGUGGAACAGUGGAACAGUGGAUAAGACACUUACCGUUGAUGUGGGAGAUCUGCGUUCAAUUUCCACUGCGACAGAUCCACCAUUGUGGCGUGCAACCUCUGACAUAUAUAGCAAGUGUAAUUCGCUUUGGAUAAAAGCGUCAGCGAAAUGACUAUGUGUUAAUGUAAUGGAGUCCAUGACCUCCAUCCAGCACACUGGGUCAGUUUGCAAACAAAUGGGAAGCAGCCAGGAGGAGAUUCAGCAUCUCUAAGGUCGGAGGCUGUGGUCCUUUGUCCAUUGUCAAGACAACAUGUUGUAUUUUCUGACCUUAACAUGAACCGGGAGGUAAACUGGCACAUUGGUGCAGCAACCUCGACUUGCAGACUGGAGGAGCCGGGGAUCGAACCACCGAUCUUACAAUUAGUAGGUAACGCAACACAUAUCAACUGUGUCACGAACCACUAUGUUAGAUGCCCGAUGUCAUUUGACGCCUGGAAACGCCCAAACCGUUCGCAUCCCAACUGGUCACACAUGGACGCUCAGUCAACCCUUGCGGUUGCUCUUUGACGCCUUGGGUUCAGUUUAGCGUCAUUUUUAUAUGUGCAGGGCUUCAUGGUCAAGUCUUUCACAUGGAAAACGAACACACUGGUCUCCUUGGUAAAAGUCCAGUUUCUGGGCAACAGCCGCCGAAGGACAUGACAAAGCAUAGGAAUUUGACGCCCUGGGAAUGAGAAUGGGCUUGAACGCCGUCCAAACAGGAAGUAGUCAAAGAUACAAAAGCCUUGAUGUGGUGAGUAAAUGUGAUCAAACUUGUGCUUUUCUGGAGAGUUGGGUCUCGUCAACACAGCGAAAUGAGGCAGCGGACACGUCGACGCAGGUCAGCCCGUGAAGAGUAUGUGCAGGCUAAACAAUGGAUAGAUAUGUUUUGGCGUGUUCUGAUACUCAUGUGUGUUUCUCUUUAUUGAUCAGAUAUAUAUAUAUAUAUAUAUAAAAAAUUUAACUGAGGGGACUAAUGCCAUUUAUGAAAUUAUAAUCUCUGAUCUGUUACAUGCACAAACUCUCUAUAAAAGUUGUUGAUUCUCCAGUAGUAGCUUUAACACUGAGCAGUCCUCUGUGUGUCAAAGAGCUGAAUCUGACUGUCACAGAACUGACUUCCUGUUUUGAUCCACAUAUUUGUACUGAAGUUCAUCAGCGGUUUCACUUUUGUUGACUGAUUUGGUCCAGCUUCGAGUUCAGGUUAAGUUUUGCUGUCAUUAUAGAGCACAAUGAAAUGCAGUUGUAGGCCCCUCCAUGCUCAGAGGAAAUGUAAUGUAAUGUAAUUACCGUCUCUCCUCCAGAUGAGGAGCAACUCAAAACCUACUUUUAUGCUUUUGCUUUUAACUGGUAAAUAAAUGCAUAAAUAAAAGUGUGUUUAGAUUUUAUAGCCCGGUCUGCUACAUUUUUCUGUUUUAAUACCUGUGUUUGUGCAUGCUGCUGUAUUUUAAGCUUUAUUUAUUGGUUUAAGUGCUCAUGAACAUAAAGCACUUUGAGCUUUCAAAGCAUUUUAUGUAUGAAAUGUGGUAUAAAAUAAAGAGAUUAUUUUAUUAGUUUAA